AUGAAUGGAACGUGCUCAGGCUUUGCAUCUCAGGAAGUUUUUCACAUGAGAGAAAAUUCUCACCUAUGUAUCCUUCUCAUAGGGACAGGGUUCGUUCUUGUUUUGUACAACCACUUUCUUUUUCCUCUGUUCUUUUUGGAAUGCUUUGCAGAUGAAUACGGCUGGCGGAGUGGAGGAGGAGUGCUCAUGUCUUUGGAUGUUUUCAAAUCCUCCAGAACUGUGACUCGGGAAAGGUUGCAAACUCAGCAAGAUCCUUCAUUUUUCUUAUUGCAUCUCCACAUACAAUAUGGUGCCUCGCACAAUCUUCAUAUGUUCCUGUCCUGGCUGGCUCAUCAAGACUGCAUGAUGUAACAGAACAUCUGCCGGCUCUCCUCGCCAUCACUGUAGCUGGAUAUUGCAGGGACCACCACGGAGGACAUUGAGAAUAACCCCGUUUUCAAUCCUCCAUCUCUGACUGUUUUGAUGUGUGGCCCUGCCAUGGCAGAUUCACUCAGGGAUAAGUCCACUUCCCUGGCUUGGAGCCCCUUCCUGUUCGUUCCUACAGAUCCAAGACCCUCAGGCAACAACAUGGUGCUGAGUUGCCUGCAGGUCUCCCCACACUGGAGCCAUGCUGAGACCCAGCAGAAAUGGGAACAAGGCUCCUCCCUUCUGCUUGUGCCUUUCCUGCAAAAUCCAGAAGAGCUGAGUGUCUAGACAGUGAUCUCUGUAAAGACUACCCCUCAGUCCCUUUUGGGUAUCAGUGCCAAAAGGAAGUUUUCUCCAUGUUCCCAACUAGGGGUUAGAGUCCGUGUGGACCCUUAUCAUCCAUGUAAUUUUCCUGUCCAUGAUCUUAGCAUGUAGAAUUGCAGGUGCAGGAGACUUACCUGCUUUGUUCAUUAGCCAGAAAGCUCCAUAAAGGCAGAGAUAUUGUCUAUUUUGUUGACUCUCAUAUUUUCUUUACCAACCAUUAUGCCUGGCAUAUAAUAUUAACAAUUAUAAUUAUGAGACUGUUAGUCACAGUGAAUAUUUGUAUUGUACUUUCUCUGAACCAUACACUCUUCUAAGGGUCUUACCUAUAUCAACUCAUUCAGUUCACACAACUACCCUUCAUGUAGAAACCAUUAUCAUUUACAUUUUGUAUGUGGAUAAAUUUAGGCAUAGGGAGGUCAGGUAACAUUCCCAAGGUCAUCCAGCAAGUAAGUGAUGGCAUUUAAACUUAAGCACAGAAGUCUGACUGCAGAGCUCAUACGUUUAAUCACUGGACUACACUCUGUGACACCCACCAUUCAACAAGGUACCACAUUGCCCGUUUGUUCUCUGGUUAGUGAGCCCAUUCUAGGAAGCAGACAUAACCCAGUGGGGCUGAGGAUACCUCCCUCUCCACAGCACUGAGAGUACUCCUGGCAUGACAAGGAGUAGGGAACCAAGUUUAUGGAAGGAGCAGUGAGUGUGAAGAGGAUGCAAGUGUAGACAAGGCAAACACAACACAGGCUGCUUGGAGAACUCAGAGAGGAGUAAGGGACACAAUUAGAAGUUGACACACAUGGGAAAUUUGAAGGAGACAGAAAUAUGUAAAGGGGAUAUUUUGAUAAUUUCUUUAUAGAGCAGUCUAUAAAAUUUCCAUACUGUCUCUUCUAGAAAACCUUCAGUAUAGAUCUAUAUUACUUUUUUUUUAAGACUUAUUUUAUUUAUUUGAAAGUCAGAGUUAUACAGAGAGAGGAGAGGCGGUGUGGGGAGGGAAGUCUUCAAUCCGAUGGUUCACUCCCCAAUUGGCCGCAACGGCCGAUCCAAAAUCAGGAGCCAGGAGCCUCCUCCGAGUCUCCCACGUGGGUGCAGGGGCCCAAGGACUAGGACCAUCUUCUACUGCUUUCCCAGGCCAUCGCAGAGAGCUGGAUCAGAAGUGGAGCAGCCAGGUCUCAAACCGGCACCCGUAUGGGAUACUGGCACUUUAGGCCAGGGCAUUAACCUGCUGUGUUACAGCGCCAGCCCCUAUAUUACUUCUUAAUUCACCUUUAUUUUCUGUAACUAAGAUAGCAUUAAAACUGAGCAAUGGGGAACUGGCUCAGGUUUUAUAAGCAGUUAAUGAGUCUCAGCCCUGUCUUUGGAUCUCAUAGGGGAAGAAAGCAGAGAAAUGGCUUGGCUGGAGGGUGAGGCUACCUGGAUUUAGAAUUUCUGACCAAGUGCCCUCCUGUUUUAGAGUUUGGGUACAUGCACAUGAGAAACUACAAAAGAGGGAAAGGAGAGCUUGAGAUGGUGCAGAAAUAAAAACAAGAGAAAGUGAGAGAGGAUAUAGAAA
rnacentral:lncRNA from 1 species